UUCUGAAUCGUCGAUACACGUACACACGAAUAGGAACGGUGAUUAGUAGGGAACCGAGAGAGAAACUACCGGUGAUUCGUCUCUCAAUCGAACAAUCAAGCCUCGAUUCAGCGUCUCCAUCUGUCAUAGACUAUCUAAUCACAUCUUCGCCGACCCAUCGAUUCAGGUAAAACAGGCUGUCAUUGGAAGCCACGGCCUGGAUGUACAGUACCGUGGGAUUGAUGUCCUGGAAUCUUUGGUAUUUGAAUUUUCACCAUCUACAUCAACUGCCAUGAGUCUUCCCAUGGAGUUUCACGAGCAGUAACGGGCUUCCUUUGAGAAGGACUAUUUGAAAGUCUCCCAAUAUCCUUUUUCUGUUCUGUUGUUUUAUUGAUUCCUCUAGUUGCAUUUGACUUUUUCCUUGCACUUCUUUUUUGUAGUAUGGGCUGACUGGCUGAUUUUAGUUGGCUUUAUCUUCUAGGUACUUAAUUAUCACUUACUCUUAGAAAAAGGACAUAACCAGUGUUAUACACUGUUAAUCAAGGUUUCUGUAUGUAGACCUUAGCUUUCUAUUACCUAAGCAGAGUGGCUGCUGUACAACACCAACCAUUUUUUCAUGCUUGCUUGCCCGACCGAUGUUAACCACCAUCCUUGUGGCGGUGGUUAAUGAGUAAAACGUAUGUUGGAAGGAGUGGAGAAAUCCUUGAAUGUGUAAAUAAAUCUGGGAAUGUUGAAAUUCUAAUCUUUUCGGCAUUGUGAU